GGGGGGAGCAAGCGUUGUUCGGAUUUACUGGGCGUAAAGGGCGCGUAGGCGGCCACCGCAAGUCGACUGUGAAAUCUCCGGGCUUAACCCGGAACGGUCAGCCGAUACUGCGGGGCUAGAGUGCAGAAGGGGCAACUGGAAUUCUCGGUGUAGCGGUGAAAUGCGUAGAUAUCGAGAGGAACACCUGCGGCGAAGGCGGGUUGCUGGGCUGACACUGACGCUGAGGCGCGAAAGCUAGGGGAGCGAACGGGAUUAGAUACCCCGGUAGUCCUAGCCUUAAACGAUGAAUGCUUGGUGUCUGGGGUUUUAUAGUCCCCGGGUGCCGUCGCUAACGCUUUAAGCAUUCCGCCUGGGGAGUACGGUCGCAAGACUGAA
rnacentral:rRNA from 1 species